rnacentral:tRNA from 1 species
AUUUAUAUAGUUUAAUCUUAAAACAUUACAUUUUCAUUGUAAAAUUAAAAUUUUUUUUUAUAAAUA